rnacentral:tRNA from 1 species
GCCAGGGUAGCUCAGCGGUAGAGCAGCGCAUUCGUAAUGCGCAGGCCGUGAGUUCGAAUCUCAUCCCUGGCU